GAUUAACGCUGGCGGCGUGCCUGACACAUGCAAGUCGAACGAGCGAAGCCCUUCGGGGCCUAGCUAGUGGCGGACGGGUGAGUAACACGUGAGGAACCUACCUUCAAGUGGGGAAUAAGCUCCAGAAAUGGGGUCUAAUACCGCAUGUGGUUGCAACGCGGCAUCGCGAUGCACCUAAAGAUUUAUCGCUUGGAGACGGCCUCGCGGCCUAUUAGCUAGUUGGUGGGGUAACGGCCUACCAAGGCGAUGAUGGGUAGCUGGUCUGAGAGGACGAUCA
rnacentral:rRNA from 1 species